rnacentral:rRNA from 1 species
AUUAACGCUGGCGGCGUGCCUAAUCCAUGCAAGUCGAGCGAACAGAUGAGGAGCUUGCUCCUCUGACGUUAGCGGCGGACGGGUGAGUAACACGUGGAUAACCUACCUAUAAGACUGGGAUAACUUCGGGAAACCGGAGCUAAUACCGGAUAAUAUAUUGAACCGCAUGGUUCAAUAGUGAAAGACGGUUUUGCUGUCACUUAUAGAUGGAUCCGCGCCGCAUUAGCUAGUUGGUAAGGUAACGGCUUACCAAGGCAACGAUGCGUAGCCGACCUGAGAGGGUGAUCGGCCACACUGGAACUGAGACACGGUCCAGACUCCUACGGGAGGCAGCAGUAGGGAAUCUUCCGCAAUGGGCGAAAGCCUGACGGAGCAACGCCGCGUGAGUGAUGAAGGUCUUCGGAUCGUAAAACUCUGUUAUUAGGGAAGAACAAAUGUGUAAGUAACUAUGCACGUCUUGACGGUACCUAAUCAGAAAGCCACGGCUAACUACGUG